GAUGAACGCUGGCGGCGUGCCUAAUACAUGCAAGUCGAGCGAACGGACGAGAAGCUUGCUUCUCUGAUGUUAGCGGCGGACGGGUGAGUAACACGUGGAUAACCUACCUAUAAGACUGGGAUAACUUCGGGAAACCGGAGCUAAUACCGGAUGAUAUUUUGAACCGCAUGGUUCAAAAGUGAAAGACGGUCUUGCUGUCACUUAUAGAUGGAUCCGCGCUGCAUUAGCUAGUUGGUAAGGUAACGGCUUACCAAGGCAACGAUGCAUAGCCGACCUGAGAGGGUGCACGCGCACACUGGAACUGAGACACGGUCCAGACUCCUACAGGAGGCAGAAGUAGGGACUCUUCCGAGAUGGGCGAAAGCCUGACGGAGCAACGCCGCGUGAGUGCUGAAGGUCUUCGGAUCGUAAAACUCUGUUAUUAGGGAAGACCAUAUGUGUAAGUAACUGUGCACAUCUUGACGGUACCUAAUCAGAAAGCCACGGCUAACUACGUG
rnacentral:rRNA from 1 species